UACAGAGGGUGCGAGCGUUAAUCGGAAUUACUGGGCGUAAAGGGCGCGUAGGCGGCCUUCUAAGUCGAACGUGAAAUCCCCGGGCUCAACCCGGGAACUGCGUCCGAUACUGGAAGGCUUGAAUCCGGGAGAGGGAUGCGGAAUUCCAGGUGUAGCGGUGAAAUGCGUAGAUAUCUGGAGGAACACCGGUGGCGAAGGCGGAGACCUGGGCCGAUACUGACGCUGAGGUGCGAAAGCGUGGGGGAGCAAACAGG
rnacentral:rRNA from 1 species